UGAAGAAUUACACCACCACCAACAGCAGUGAUAGUCUUAGAGAAUAUAUAAGGAAGCAUACCUUUCAAGAAGAAAAAAAAUCUCAAUCAAGUAUGGUGGGUGGCUUCCAGAAGUUAUUGUGGCAUGCAUGAAGACAAAGGGGAACAAUAAAAUACAGUUAAACAAAGAGUAGCCUGCAACAUGAAGGAGAUUUUCUGGUUGAAAGACAGUCUGGUGGAUAUGCUCUGGAAUAUUCUCAUUCAUUACCAAAAGACAGAAAAUUAUCUCUAAUUGAUUUAGCUCCAAUCUCAAGUUACCACUGUGGGAGGUGAAUUCUCUGGAGAGCUGAGUGAAUGAACCUGGCAAAGCAGCAAAGUUGCACAGGAAGCCACUGUUUAAUGGGAAAAUGUCCAUUCUGUUAUGAAUAAUGGCAAAGAACACCUCAGCCUUCAAACAAUUCAAGUUGAAAGAAGUUCCCUGCAAAAGGGCCAGUAACCUGGAUGAACAGAAGCACACCUAACUCAAAGCCUUGCAGACCACUUAACAGAAAGCAGUUUCCUAUAUCCAACUGCUUAAUCUAAAAAUCCGAUAGGAAUUAGCUGCCACAACCACCACAGGUCUCUUCAGGCUUAAAAAGGUCGACAUAUCCUGUUUGAGAACAUCUGCUACAUGUUCUGGUCAUAUGGUAACCCUCAGGAAAUUGUUCUCUGAGGCAAAGGCACAUUUUUGGAGCCUCAUGCCAUUUAAAAACAAGCAUUUGAAGUCUUAAUUGCCACCUACAAGAUGAUUCAUGCAAAGAAAACCUCUUGAUUUCAGCCAAUGAAAAUUUUGUGCCUUGAGAAACCAUGUUAAACAGUAUGAUUAAGGAUCAUGCAAAUGAGAAAGUUUAUUUUAUUUACUGCUCCAAAGGAAUCCAUGGCAGUAAACUGUGUUCACAACAUGCCGGGAAUUGACAAUGUAUACAGUCUCUGUACAUUCUUUAGUCUGAGUUGGGUCUUGGAGUCAAGAUGGUGGUGUAAAAGCAGGGACUUGGCCUGAGAUCUCCCCAAAUCUCUUCAGAUAUCCCUAUAAAAGCACUCUGAACAAAUUCUAAAGUGGCAGAAACCACAAAGAGACAGAGUGAGGCAGAUUUCCAGCCCAAGACAACUUGGAAGGCUGACAGGAAAGGUCUGUUGCACUACAACCGAGUAGUAUCCAGCAUUCAGGGCACAGCAGCAGACACAGAAGAGGCAAAGCCACUCUGGGGGACUGAAUCACCAGCAGCAGUGACAAGUUCCAGUCUUCUCAGUGCACAGAUGCCAGAGACAACUUAGAAGGUCAGCUGGAGGGGUCUGUCAGAACUGGGUAAGAGAGAAGCUCAGUCCAACACAGGGCUGCAGGGCAUUCCAAUGCAGUCCCUGCAUCAGCAAACCAGGAACAGGCUCUGGGAGUGACUGAAUCAGCAGCAGUAAUGGUGGCAGCAGUGGCAGCACUGCUCCAGGAGCUAUUAGCCCACAGACUGAAUGUCUGAAAGUCACGUAUUUAAACUUCCUGCAGCCAAGAUGGUGGAGUAAGAAGUAAGUUACUCUCAUCUUCUUUUAUUGACCUUGAAAAACUCAGAGAAUAUUGCCCCAGGAAAAAUUUUGAAAUAAUAGAGUCAGCAGAAGGAUAAGAUGCAGCAGUCUUUUAGCUACCUAGGUUAGGGGGAUUAAUGGGAAAAGUCUCUCUUUCUGUGGCUGAAAGGGACCAGUACAAGUUAGAGGGCAUCCCAGCAAGCCAGUGGAAAGUCCCACCUCAGCAAACCAGUAACCAGAUCCCUAGCCCCCCUACAAGAAGUCUGGGACAGUGCCCCCUGUGCCCCAGAAGCAGAGAUCAACUUAAAAAGCCAGAAAAAAGAGCUAGCAGCAACACAGAAAAACAGUGACCAUAAGAAAGUAUCUUGGUGACAGGGAAGAUCAAAACAAAUUCAGGCAAGGAUAACAUUGUCAAUAUAUCCAUA